ensembl:miRNA
AAAAGUUUGUUCGGAUUUUUCCCUAACACCUUAUGGAAAACCCUGAAUGAACUUUUUGA